AGUGAACGCUGGCGGUAGGCCUAACACAUGCAAGUCGAACGGCAGCACAGUAAGAGCUUGCUCUUACGGGUGGCGAGUGGCGGACGGGUGAGGAAUACAUCGGAAUCUACUUUUUCGUGGGGGAUAGCGUAGGGAAACUUACGCUAAUACCGCAUACGACCUACGAGUGAAAGCAGGGGAUCUUCGGACCUUGCGCGAUUGAAUGAGCCGAUGUCGGAUUAGCUAGUUGGCGGGGUAAAGGCCCACCAAGGCGACGAUCCGUAGCUGGUCUGAGAGGAUGACCAGCCACACUGGAACUGAGACACGGUCCAGACUCCUACGGGAGGCAGCAGUGGGGAAUAUUGGACAAUGGGCGCAAGCCUGAUCCAGCCAUACCGCGUGGGUGAAGAAGGCCUUCGGGUUGUAAAGCCCUUUUGUUGGGAAAGAAAAGCAGCAGGUUAAUACCCCGCUGUUCUGACGGUACCCAAAGAAUAAGCACCGGCUAACUUCGUG
rnacentral:rRNA from 1 species